rnacentral:rRNA from 1 species
CCUACGGGAGGCAGCAGUGGGGAAUUUUGGACAAUGGGCGCAAGCCUGAUCCAGCAAUGCCGCGUGCAGGAUGAAGGCCUUCGGGUUGUAAACUGCUUUUGUACGGAACGAAACGGUGAGCUCUAAUACAGUUUGCUAAUGACGGUACCGUAAGAAUAAGCACCGGCUAACUACGUGCCAGCAGCCGCGGUAAUACGUAGGGUGCGAGCGUUAAUCGGAAUUACUGGGCGUAAAGCGUGCGCAGGCGGUGAUGUAAGACAGAUGUGAAAUCCCCGGGCUCAACCUGGGACCUGCAUUUGUGACUGCAUCGCUAGAGUACGGUAGAGGGGGAUGGAAUUCCGCGUGUAGCAGUGAAAUGCGUAGAUAUGCGGAGGAACACCGAUGGCGAAGGCAAUCCCCUGGACCUGUACUGACGCUCAUGCACGAAAGCGUGGGGAGCAAACAGGAUUAGAUACCCUGGUAGUCCACGCCCUAAACGAUGUCAACUGGUUGUUGGGUCUUCACUGACUCAGUAACGAAGCUAACGCGUGAAGUUGACCGCCNGGGGAGUACGGCCGCAAGGUUGAAACUCAAAUGAAUUGACGGCUUGAGCNGCGAGGCGACGACGAGGGAGGAGG